AUUGAACGCUGGCGGCAUGCCUAACACAUGCAAGUCGAACGGCAGCACAGUAAGAGCUUGCUCUUACGGGUGGCGAGUGGCGGACGGGUGAGGAAUACAUCGGAAUCUACUUUUUCGUGGGGGAUAACGUAGGGAAACUUACGCUAAUACCGCAUACGACCUACGGGUGAAAGCAGGGGAUCUUCGGACCUUGCGCGAUUGAAUGAGCCGAUGUCGGAUUAGCUAGUUGGCGGGGUAAAGGCCCACCAAGGCGACGAUCCGUAGCUGGUCUGAGAGGAUGAUCAGCCACACUGGAACUGAGACACGGUCCAGACUCCUACGGGAGGCAGCAGUGGGGAAUAUUGGACAAUGGGCGCAAGCCUGAUCCAGCCAUACCGCGUGGGUGAAGAAGGCCUUCGGGUUGUAAAGCCCUUUUGUUGGGAAAGAAAAGCAGCAGGUUAAUACCCCGCUGUUCUGACGGUACCCAAAGAAUAAGCACCGGCUAACUUCGUG
rnacentral:rRNA from 1 species